GAUUGCAAAGCUCUUAUUUUUAUAAGAAUUUCAGGAGCAGAAUAUUUUAUAGGUUUUGGUGUGCUUUUACUAAAGGUGAAAAACGCAUUUUUUUUUAAACUAAUUUUUUUGAGAGUUAUUGCUGCAAAGUAAAAGCCCUUUUAGUCAGAAGGAAAAUAAUGGAUUUACCUUGAGAUGUCCAAACAGAGUGAAGUAUUCAAGUUCAAAUGAUAGCAUCAAUUCAGAUGGUAUUGUCGCUAUAUAUUGGGUUACUGUCCCAUCCUUCUGACGUAACAGAACAUCUUAUUCACCAAUUUUUACAGCCUUGGCAGAUGAAGAGGUAGACAGCUUGUUGAAAGUAGGUGGUGUUGUGUUCACUCCCUUUCCCCAGAGGAUCAAAUUUGAUUGGAACCAAUCAUUUUAAAUGAGCAGCUUAUUUUGUGCAUUCCCAUUUUCAUUACUUGCUGUUCACUUGUUUAUCUUAAUCCAUUCCCAUAAUGACCAGCUACACAGUUUUGCCAAGUCCUUCAUAGCUCAAUCAUUUUAGUCUUUCUUUUAUGUUGGCUUCUCCUAUGGUUUUCUCUCCUUUCUUUCUCCAUUUUGCACACAUACCCCUUUUCCUGUAAAGAUAAGAUUAAUUUUUUCCCUAGUUGUAUGUUUUUCCUAAAGUUUUUCUCAUAGGAGAAAGUGUUUUUCAGUGAAGGGAUGAUUUAUAUUUGGACAGCUUUAAUGGAGAUACUGGCUUUGGGUGAGAAAUAACUGUAAGGUUCUCAGGGGUUGUUAUUGGUAGUUAUCACAUUUCACCCUCAUUCUUCAUUGCUGACUUGUUUAUCUCUUCAGUUAGACAGGGAACUUAAUUUCUUGCUAAAGAAAAGGUAGAGCUUCCAAAAUCCCGAGGCAGAAUGCAUGCAGGUAGGGAAGGAAAGAAUGAACAAGUGCCAAAGCUUGUGAAGAUGGGAGGGGAGACUGGCAGCACUUUCCAUUUGAGUUGUCAUUUGAAAUUUAAAGCAUGAGAUUGAUUCUGCAGAGCAGAGGCAGAUCUUUAUGCCUGUUUGGGGUCCAGGUAUCUUCUGCAAGAUUCUUUCUAAAUUCAAGGAGUUAUUCAGAGAAAUAAAGAAAUGGAAGAAAGCUUAAGGAAAAAGGAAGCAUUGAAGUGGCUAUAUUCAAGCCAAACAGUAGAUAGGAUUACCAAGCAAAUUUAAUCAAUAAUGCUUAUUCCCAAUCAGGUUCACUCAUUCCAUUCCCAUUUAAGUGUAUAAUUUAAAAAAGAUUAAUUUCUUUUUUUUUAAUGUACUAAUCAUCCUCACAAACAGUCUUUCUGAAAGCUCAGGUUUUGGAAAGUGCCUUACUUUCUUCUCUUAAAACAUCACGAGACUCUCAGUCUCUGGUAGCCUGUAUGGCAUUUUUUCAAGGUGGCCAUGGCAUUUAUGGGUGCAGACCUCUAAGGGGCACUUAAGUUAAGCAUAAGGAAAAAUAAUCUAAUAAGAAGACAAGUUAAGCAUGGAUACAGAUUGAUUGUAGAUACUGUGUUCCCCGGAGACUGGAGGGUUUCUAAGACACUAGAGAAGCACCUGUCUUAGUAAUGUUGGUUUUGGUUUGAGAUGGGGACGACGUCAUGUGUGCUUCUUCCAGAAACUUCUGAAGUUUCUGUUGUAAUCACUUGAUGGAAGUGGAAUUAGAACAGUUGAUACUGAUAUCUAUUAAUCAUAUAGAUUCAAGACUUUAGGGUGCAAAGAGAUUAAAAAAAGAAGAAAACCAAAUCCUGACAUCACCUUGUGUAGUGGUAGAAUGAAAAAAAAAGAAAUGGAUUUUUAUUAACAUGUUCUGUUGUACUUAUGAAUUUAUAUUUGCAAGAUCUAAUGAUGAAGAAGAGGAGUCAGACAAGCUUUAUCAUGUGCUUGGUAGGCAGCAAACCUGCUCAGCUCUGGAGAUGGAUACCUGGAGAGGCAUUUCCCUCUGAUAUAUCGCCUGGAAUUAUUAUAUUGUACUUUUGUCAUUCUCAGUUGUGACAGUUAGAACAUGCAGGAAGAGUGUUUGCAGUGCUUUGGGAGAAGUGGGCCUAUUGUUUGGUUACUAUUGUGCUGGACUUGAGAAAGCUGGCAAAAAAUAAAUUCACCUUUCUGUCCUCCAGAAAUCAGGAGUAUGUGGAGCCUCUGAACACUUGGGCGUUUUGAGUAACUGCAACAGUGCCAGGACCUUGUUCCCACACUGUAAAUACUUGAGGAUAGUUGGCCAAGGUAAAUAAUAGGAAUUACAGAGUAACUGAGAUGAUCUUUUGGAAGCAUGGUGUUUGAUCCUGACAGCUCAGGCCUGCUCCAGUGCCAGAAUGCCUAAACAUUAAACCUCAGAAGGAACUGUGGAAGGAUGCAGUUGACUUCUUCCUGCAGUACAGAAGUCACUUGACUCUGGAGUGACACCUGCCUUUUUGGUUUCAGUUUCCAUUACCAAAAUGGAUUUUCAAACUGUAGGUAGUAAAAUUCCAGCACUGGAGAAGGUGACCACAAAUUCAAGACCCCAUGUAGUAAAGAAAUAAGAAAUUGAAGUGUGGAACUUUUUAAGAUGAGUCUUUAAAAGACAAGUGAUGUUCUGAAUAGCAAAUGAUUUAUGCAAAAUAUGUUACAAAAUCUAAGAUGCCAAAUAAAUAACCAAUAUAA